rnacentral:rRNA from 1 species
UACCAUCAGAAAAAAGGACCGGCUAUUCCGUGCCAGCAGCCGCGUAUACGAAGGUCCGGGCGUAUCCGGAUUUAUGGGUUUAAAGGGAGCGUAGGCCGGCUUUUAAGUCAGCUGUGAAAGUCCGCGGCUCAACCGUGGAAUUGCAGUUGAAACUGGAGGCCUUGAGUGCACACAGGGAUGCCGGAAUUCAUGGUGUAGCGGUGAAAUGCUUAGAUAUCAUGAAGAACUCCGAUCGCGAAGGCAAGUGUCCGGGGUGCAACUGACGCUGAGGCUCGAAAGUGCGGGUAUCAAACAGGAUUAGAUACCCUGGUAGUCCGCACCGUAAACGAUGAAUACUCGUGUCCCGCGAUAUAUUGUGGGACACUUAGCGAAAGCGUUAAGUAUUCCACCUGGGGAGUACGCCGGCAACGGUGAAACUCAAAGGAAUUGACGGGGGCCCGCACAAGCGGAGGAACAUGUGGUUUAAUUCGAUGAUACGCGAGGAACCUUACCCGGGCUUGAAAUGUGCAGGACUCAGGCAGAGACGCCUGUUUCUUCGGACCUGCAUGUAGGUGCUGCAUGGUUGUCGUCAGCUCGUGCCGUGAGGUGUCGGCUUAAGUGCCAUAACGAGCGCAACCCUUCUCCCCGUUUGCCAUCAGUUAAUGCUGGGCACUCCGGGGACACUGCCAUCGUAAGAUGUGAGGAAGGUGGGGAUGACGUCAAAUCAGCACGGCCCUUACGUCCGGGGCUACACACGUGUUACAAUGGGGGGUACAGAGGGCCGCUAUCCCGCGAGGGUGCGCCAAUCCUCAAAACCUCUCUCAGUUCGGACUGGAGUCUGCAACCCGACUCCACGAAGCUGGAUUCGCUAGUAAUCGCGCAUCAGCCAUGGCGCGGUGAAUACGUUCCCGGGCCUUGUACACACCGCCCGUCAAGCCAUGAAAGCCGGGGGUGCCUGAAGGUCGUAGCCGCGAGGGUCGGCCUAAGGCAUUACCCUAGUCU